AGUUCUAAGACUCGCGUGUUCUUUACUGUUCUCAGCAAGCUUGCAACGGAGAGGAACAACAAGGAGUAAGAGAAGGCUUUUAGCAAAGAAACUACACAUGGCUAGCUGUACAAAAAUACAUUUGCAGAGAAUCUUAAAUGCCUGUAAUUAUUUGUCGAUCCUGAGAUUAUUACAUAGAUUUCUUAGUUCAGGCCUUGAAUCCAUCCAUGAUGUGAAUUUCGUUUCACUUGCUUUCGUGGAGUACAGGUACGAUCUGAAUGUGAUCAGAUUGAAGUACCUCCUGAAAAAAAGUGCAGAAACAAUUGGUCAUAAAAUGCCAUACGCUCUAUAGAAUUGCUAGAAGGAGCCCCAUGAAGCCACCCACUGCGGUGUUCAUAAAAAAAAAAAAAAUCGCAAUAAAAUAAAUAAAUAAAUAAAGAGCAUCUCUCUCGAGGGAAAACAGCCUUUCCCAUAGACAGGACAAUUUCAAUCCAACUUGGUCCAAGUUACCAAACCAUAAUGGAAUAUCAUGCAAGUGCAAACCUUGUGGCUUUCUAUGUCAACUAAUGAAAAGCAACAAGGACCAGGCAGGUCAAGCAUGUCCACCAAAGGAAAAGGAGGGUUGCAACAAUCUACUUAGCAUACGUUCUAAGAUUAAAUUGCCAAGGUAUAUCAACUAACCUUAAAGCCUUAAUGCCCAUAUCCAAGAGGCAUGCACGGUGCUCAUCGUCACUAUCGGGAAACUUCCAAAGUUCCUUGAUGUAAUAAUGAAUAUCAUCACGCAAAUGUCCUGCACCUGCACACCUUUUGAGAAAAAGAAGGAGGGUUUCAGCACUGGCAGAUCAAAUCAUGGCAAAGGGGACCAGCUAAUCAGAAAACGUAGGAAACAACUAAAACAAAACAUAACUUCACACAACAAAAUGACCCAUAGUUGUAAGGAUUUUUCAUUCCAGAUUGACAGAGGAGAGCAAGCCAAUCAGUAACACAUCGUCACCUUCUGCUUUUCCCAAAGUUAUGGAGAAUUAUGCCUCCACGACUAUCAUUUAAUCAUGCAUUUAGUUAUUGCCUCUGUUUUCAUAUGAAGAAGGAACUAAAAUAAAAAUGGACAUACUUUUCAAUAAUAAUGUCAACAUCUGCUUUGCUCUUCGGACCAUGAAUGAGAACUCUUGUAAGACUAAGUAUGUCACGGUAAUCUCCCAUCCUCAGUGCUUCUUCAUCAGACAAUUCAGAAGGCAAGUUUGAUUCAGACAAAGAAGAUGAACGUCUGCUACUAACCAAUGUUUGUGAAAUCUUUGAUGUCAACUUUGCACGACGAAUAAUUAUAUAUGUUCUUACUAUUCUUUCUUUCCAGGGAUUGGACUUCGUGGUAUCGGAAGCUAGGAAAUAUGGGAUUUAUCUGAUACUGAGCUUGGUGAAUAACUUCAAAGAUUAUGGGGGCAGAUCACAAUAUGUUGAGUGGGCAAGGGAACGUGAUCAGCAGUUGAGUGAUGACGACGAGUUCUAUACAAACUCUAUUGUCAAAGAAUACUACAAGAACCAUGUCGAGGUAACUCAUUCAUCAGUACUGUACCCUCCUUUACAUUAGCCAUCAUCUUUCCAUGGACAAAUCUUCUUAAUUUGUCGUUUCAUUUACACAAUUAUUGUCACUAUUAGAAUUAUUAAUCUAUACACAUCUAAAGCGUUUCUUUCAAAAGCGCAUUUAAUUUGAUGUUAAAACAUCUUCCUUGCCUAUUUAUCUCUGUUCAAGGAAAUGCAUGAAUGUCUCUGACUUGAGGGCAUAAUGUUUUCAAUUACUGAUAGCUAAUUAAAAACAGUGGCAGAUGAUUAAUGGGUAGAAUUAAUGUGAUUAAAUUCUUGAAACAAGGUUAACCCUUUUGACUUGGUAAAAGCAUCGCUAGCUUAAUUAUAGUGUCAGAGUCACGGUUAUCUUGGUUUUAGCAACUGUUGACCCUAGCUUUCAAUCUCUCCUGCCGCUAAAAAGCAGUAUCUGUGCAGGCAGUGCUUACGAGGAGCAACUCGAUAACAGGAGUUGCAUAUAAAGACGAUCCCACCAUCUUUGCAUGGGAGCUGAUAAACGAACCUCGUUCAAAUGACACUUCUGGAAAGCUAAUCCAGGUAUAUCUAAUUCCUUUCAUUUCUACUCUCAAGAUGAUCACAGUAUUAAGAUCAAACAAAUUAUAUCGAGAAAAAAACAAGCCCAACAAAUGACAAUCUCUCUUAGGAUGAAAGAAAUUCAUGAUUCAACAGUGUAAUCAUUCAAAACUAGGAAUGAAAGGGCAAUAGAAAUGCUUGGAAGCUCACGCUAUUCGCUUAAUGUCACCGUUGCUAAUCUCCAUUUGUUCCUAUUUUGAGCUCUACGUGUGCGUUAUGACUAUAUACUAAAAGGGGAUAACCAUGCACAGUCUCUGUUACGGUGAUUAUUGCAGGAAUGGGUCAAUGAAAUGGCAGCACACGUUAAAUCCAUUGAUAAUUACCAUCUUCUUGAAAUAGGGCUAGAAGGGUUUUACGGUGACUCGAAGAAGGAAUCAAAUCCUGGCAGCUACCUUGUUGGCACUGACUUCAUCUCCAACAACCAAAUCCCGAACAUAGAUUUUGCCACCAUUCAUCUCUACCCUGAGCAAUGGUAAUCGCCUUCUCCAUCAUUUACUCAGUACUGUUCUUCAUCAAGAAUUCUAACUAUUCUCGAGUCUUACUAGAUUAAUGCAAUGGCAGGUUGCAGAACUCAAGCGAAGACGAGCAAGCUUCGUUUGUGGAUAGAUGGAUCCAAGCCCAUGUCCAAGACUCCAGUUCAGUGCUUAGAAAACCACUCGUUAUAGGAGAGUUUGGCAAGUCUUCAAAGCUUCCUGGAAAUAGCCUGCAGAAAAGGGACACUUAUUUUGUGAAAAUCUACAGCGAUAUAUACAACAGUGUCACAAGAGGAGGCCCAUUUACUGGUGGGCUCUUCUGGCAACUCAUGGCCGAGGGAAUGGAGAGCUGGGGUGACGGCUACGAGGUUGUCUUGGAGGAGUCUCCCUCAACUGCUAAUAUCAUUGAUCUACAGUCUCGCAAGUUACAAUGUCUCACGUAGAUCUAUUGCUUUUGGGAUUGGAAUUUACAAUGGUCUUGUCCAUAGUACAUUCCUUCUAACAAAUUCACUACGUCAAACAGUUUUUUAACUAAUUUAUAGGCGUGCGCUAGUCGGAUAAAACAAAAAGUUUAAAUGUAAAAAAAAUAUUCAGGUUGAGGUGAGGGAAUUGUUGUGAAAUUCAUCCCAAUAAAUUAAUCUUGAAAACUUUCAACCUUACUCUUUAUAUUACUUACUCUUUAUAUAAUAUAGGUUUAAAAUUAAAUCAAGUAAAAUUAUCUUGAUAUCAUCUAAUUAACUUGAUAAAUUAAAAAAAAAACCUAGAUAUCAAAUAAAAAGCGUAGUUUGAAUUUAAAAAGUUUAAAAUAAUAUUUUUUUUUUUAUGUAGUGAGACAUUGACAUAUUAAAUCAAGUCAAGUUUCACAACUUCACCUAUCAAACUUGUAACCCGAGUCAUAAACUCUAUUGUAUUUGAUAACUUUUUGUUUUACUUAAUUAUAAAAUAAUAUAAAUAUAUGCUCGUAAAAUUAAACACUAAAUAUUAGAAUAUUUAUUUAAAAUUGUAAUGAUGUUAUAAAAUACAAAUCAAAUCAAAUUAUAAAUAUCAAUUCAAAAUCAACUUGAUGGAUAAAAUUGAAAAAAAAAAAACUCAAUGUAAGGACAAAACAGAUGGGGAAAAAAGAAAGGGAAUUGAAUCAUUCUCUUUUUUCAGAAUGCAUGCAUGAAGUAAAUUUCACAGCAGUAAAAAAAACAAAUGAACAGCAAUAUCUCGAGGUUUUAAAAGAUGUUGGCUUUGCUUUCGUGCUGUGAUGAAUUUUCGAUAUCCUUUCAAUGACUUAUGUUAUAUUAAAAAGAUAUCUAUAUCAUCCAAUCCAUUACACAAGGCACACAAUUGCAAUGGAACUGAGAAAAAAACAAAAAAGCACAGGUCUGUUAUAUUAUUUUCUAUAUUAAACCUGUUUACCUCCCAUUUCCCCUCUCAAUCAAAUUCCAACAAACCAAACCUAACAAGGGUCAAACAUGAACAGAUUUGUCAUAUAGAGGCCAAAGACCCACGCCUAUGUCUUGUUUGUUCAUGAAUCAGUUCUAAGACUCGCGUGUUCUUUUACUGUUCUCAGCAAGCUUGCAACGGAGAGGAACAACAAGGAGUAAGAGAAGGCUAUUAGCAAAGAAACUGCACAUGGCUAGCUGUACAAAAAUACAUUUGCAGAGAAUCUUAAAUGCCUGGAAUUAUUUGUCGAUCCUGAGAUUAUUACAUAGAUUUCUUAGUUCAGGCCUUGAAUCCAUCCAUGAUGUGAAUUUCGUUUCACUUGCUUUCGUGGAGUACAG
rnacentral:lncRNA from 1 species